rnacentral:rRNA from 1 species
GACGAACGCUGGCGGCGUGCCUAACACAUGCAAGUCGAACGGAACUGUUUUGAAAGAUUUCUUCGGAAUGAAUUUGAUUUAGUUUAGUGGCGGACGGGUGAGUAACGCGUGAGUAACCUGCCUUCAAGAGGGGAAUAACAUUCUGAAAAGAAUGCUAAUACCGCAUGACAUAUCGGAACCACAUGGUUUUGAUAUCAAAGAUUUUAUCGCUUGAAGAUGGACUCGCGUCCGUUUAGUUAGUUGGUGAGGUAACGGCUCACCAAGACCGCGAUCGGUAGCCGGACUGAGAGGUUGAACGGCCACAUUGGGACUGAGAAACGGCCCAGACUCCUACGGGAGGCAGCAGUGGGGGAUAUUGCGCAAUGGGGGCAAACCUGACGCAGCAACGCCGCGUGAAGGAUGAAGGUUUUCGGAUUGGAAACUUCUUUUAUUAAGGACGAAAAAUGACGGUACUUAAUGAAUAAGCUCCGGCUAACUACGUG